rnacentral:lncRNA from 1 species
CAUGGGCUUGACUCCUACUGUCCAGAUCAUUUCUACCAACAUAUAUGAACAUGCUACAACAAACCAACUCACUAAAUUACCAUGCUAUUAACAAAUUGACUACAAAGAGGCAUUUUAUCAACAUAUCGCAUACAUUCAUGAAAUAUAUGAUUCUCUAUGUAAUUGAAACAUGUUUAAACCAUAAUUUUCAUUCCUUAUCCUCCUCAUAACAGAAACCAACAAUAUUAUCAUAGCCUUACGAAAUCAACAUAAACCAUUUACCAUGGCUAUACAUGCUUUUUCACUAUUUUUCUUCAAGAACAUGAAAAAGAGAGUUUCAUAGCCUACCUUUUUGGAUGAAUUUCCCUUGCGUUAAUUUGAUUAUCCCUCUUCAUUGCUUGUUAGUUGUUAAGUGAUCUCUAGAAUACUACCACACUAUCUAUCACUCUCAACUUCUCUGCAUGCUUACUUGGUGGAAUUUUCUUAAAAGAAAAGUGUGUUUGUAUAUAUGUAUAGCUUUGUUAGAGUCUUUUGAUUCCCAGAACCCCCAACUGUGGCGUCCCCGAAUUCGGGUCCCAAAUCGCCGCGGAUUCGGUACAAACAUUCUACAACUGUUUGUGGAAGAUAUAAACAUAGAUUGUUUAUACAUUAAACUUUACACACAUUUCCCCAGAAUCGAGUAACCUUCACUUAUACACAAUCAUGAACUAUCUAGCACAUGACAAUACUAUUCUUCAACAUACUUUACAACUUAACAUCACAUUCUAUCCCAAGCUGAACUUGGCAUUAUCCUUUUCCUGUAUCUGGCCGUAUUCGCCUUAUCUGUAAUGUUUUAUCAUGAUAUAACAAGUGUGAGCAUGAAAGUUGCCCAGCAAGUUUAAAAAAAAACAAGGUAAAGAUAUAUCAUGAUUGAAAGAGUUUGAAUAAUAAGCUGGCUACCCUUCACAAUGUAGUUGUGAAUUAGCAUGAACAAAAUUUCAAAGCUGAAUGAACAUUGAAAAUGAACAUAACAAUUAUAUCUGAACUGACUGGUAAUGAAGGUGAUCAGCCUUUCAUACCUGAUGAAUACAUGCAAUAUGUACAGAGUACAAUUCAUAAGCAUAUCUGUCUGAAACCACUCUUAAAAGAGUUUAAGUAAAAAGAACUUGAAAAACUUGCCUGAACCGUUGAUUACCGUAACGCAAUAUAAUACGCUUCUCCUGAAG